CACCUUUGACAUGUACGGAAUUCGCCAGAGAUGGCUUAGUGCUCGAAAGAGAGCCGUAACACAGGUGCUGCAUGGCUGUCGUCAGCUCGUGUCGUGAGAUGUUGGGUUAAGUCCCGCAACGAGCGCAACCCUUGUCAUUAGUUGCUACAUUCAGUUGGGCACUCUAAUGAGACUGCCGGUGACAACCGGAGAGGUGGGAUGACGUCAAGUCCUCAUGGCCCCUUAUA
rnacentral:rRNA from 1 species